AGCAUCCAGUCUUUGGGAAGACGGGAGAAUUCUAGGGUUUACUUAAUGCGCGUGCCAGCCCACUUAAGCCCACCAAAGUGUGCAGCCCAUUGCCCGCAACCCAGACCCAAAAUCCAAUUACAAUCCCUAAUCCUCAGAUCUCUCUCGUUCUCCAAUCUCUCGCAUGUCGUCUACCAUGGACGACCACCAUUUCUAAACUCACUGUCUCUCUCUCUCUCUCUCACACGCACGUACGCACGCACGCGGGAAUCAUUCUUAUGUGAAAGUGCCUCACAUCGCAGCAAUUUAGAUAUGUGAGAGUUUUAGCAUUUUUGUUCAAGCCUACACACUUGGAUUCGUUGCCUAUGAUACCCAAUUUGGAUUCCCCUACCUCAGCUGUUCUCGAGUCUCUCACAUGCCACACAAUCCCUAAAAUUCUCGACCAAAAAAUUCAAUCUCUCUCUCACAUACCAGGAACACUUCCCCAUCCUGUCUUUCUCUCUCUAAAAAAUCUUUCCAUCGUCUUCCAUAUUCAAUCUUGAUCAGAUAAACCCUUCAAAAACCCUUCAUAGGAUGUAUCGUACGGUUGAUAUCAGACAAUGAAACGGGUGUGGAAGAUAUCAGAUGCAGCUCAAGCGGAGCUUCUCCUCUAUCGAUGCUCCGCAAAACCCAAAAGCCUAACAGCCCCUAUCGCGAGCCUCUCAAGAAUUUCGACCCAAAGAUUCACCCGAGAAGUGUUCGCUCGAACGCGUUCGUGCACGGCCACGUUCCCAAACAUCAACGGGUUGUUCUCGGAUAAGUGGAACUACGCAGACAUCAUAGCAGCGAGAGAAGAUCUCAGCAGGAAGGUAUCGCAUUUGAGAGACGAAUUGAUACAAGUUGUUGAUGACAGUGACAUGAUUUUCAGACUUCUGGAAGAGAAGGGGACUUCUUUGUUCAGAUGUUACUCUGAUGGGUCUGCUUUGGUUGAGCUAUUGAAGCAGUUGCGUUCUUGGCCUGAACUAUCCUUAGAGAUCUUUAAUUGGAGGAGACAUGCAGAUUUUAGCAUUCCUAUGACAUCAGAGGAGUAUGCUAAGGGUAUUACUAUUGCUGGUAGAUUGAGGAAUAUUGAUCUUGCUGAUGAACUUUUUACAGAGGCUGCUAACAAGCGAAUUAAAACAACAUCGACCUAUAAUGCACUCAUGGGUGCUUAUAUGUUCAGUGGCUUUGCUGAGAAGUGUCAGUCAUUGUUUCGAGAUUUAAAGAGGGAAGCAAAUUGUAGCCCUACAGUUGUAACAUAUAACAUCCUUUUAUCCGUAUUUGGUCGGUUGAUGUUGGUAGAUCACAUGGAGGCAACUUUUAAGGAGAUAAAGGAUUUAAAUCUCUCUCCUAAUUUAAGUACUUAUAAUAAUCUAAUUGCAGGAUAUGUUACAGCCUGGAUGUGGGAUCGUAUGGAGAAUACUUUUAGGAUUAUGAAAGCAGGCGAUGUCAAGCCUGAUAUUAAUACCCAUUUGCUCAUGCUGCGAGGGUAUGCACAUUCUUGUAAUUUGGAAAAGAUGGAAGAGACUUAUGAGCUGGUUAAACAUUAUGUAAAUCGUGAAGAAACUCCAUUGGUCAGAGCUAUGAUAUGUGCAUACUGCAAGAGUUCUGACAGAAGUAGGGUAAAAAAGAUUGAGGAAUUAAUGACAGUAAUUCCAGAAAAUGAGUACAGGCCUUGGUUGAAUGUGCUAUUGAUUAGAGUUUAUGCAGAAGAGGAUAUGGUCGAGGAGAUGGAGAAUUUAAUAAAUGAGGCAUUUGAGCAUAAAACCUCUGUAACAACUGUGCGUAUGAUGCGUUGUAUCAUUUCGAGCUAUUUCCGAAGCAAUGCAGUGGACCGGCUUGUGUCUUUUGUUAAGUUUGCGGAGUCUGCUGGAUGGAGGAUCUGUCGGUCUCUUUACCACUGUAAGAUGGUCAUGUUAGCUUCUGAGAACCGCCUUGCAGAAAUGGAGGGGGUCAUUGAUGAAAUGGAUAAAUUCAAUUUGGUUUGUACAAAAAAGACACUUGUAAUAAUGUAUAAUGCCUAUCUGAGAUGUGGUCAAAGAUGUAAAGUUGAGAAGGUGUUGGGAUUGAUGUGCAAACGUGGGUAUGGAAUUCCAUUGGAUGCAUCUCCUUCAUAGUGAAUUUUCAAUCUGACAGCCUUUGUGGCAAAACAGCUCCAGAGCAUUCAACUAAUGAUUGUGAAUGGUUCAUUGCAGCUGUAAGAUGAAUUACAGAUUUCAUAUAAUUCAUAGACAUGGCUAUAUGUUGCUGAUGAACUAUGGCUACCAAUGUGCCGAAUGCUUGUGGGAAACUAAAAUGAAAUCCACCAAGGUCAUGAAGGUGGUAUCUCUUUUUGCAUGAAUUGUUAGAAAAGUUUUGUAGAAUUACAAGGCAGAUGGAAUCAACAGCUGUGUUUCAAGAGUUAAAGAAGAUCUAGGAAUAUGAAUAACAUUUGUAAGAGUUACAUCGACGUUUUCUGGCUGUCAAGUACAAAAAUCCGUUCUCGAAGGACCAGAGUGGUUGUGCAGAUCACAUCUGAAACAAGAGCAAGGAUUACCUGCAAGCCACUUGUUUGUAGAUUGAUUCAUCAAUGCUCUUUUCUAGAUGUUGCUCUGUAGAAUACUUCAGCUGGGAAUUCUUCUUUUUGUUGGACCAGAGUGGUUGUUCAGAUCACAUCUGAAACAAGAGCAAGGAUUACCUGCAAGCCACUUGUUUGUAGAUUGAUUCAUCAAUGCUCUUUUCUAGAUGUUGCUCUGUAGAAUACUUCAGCUGGGAAUUCUUCUUUUUGUCGCCAAUUUAUAUUCAACAUUUUUUUUUGGGAAAUUUCUGUUCCCAAGAAAGAAUUUCAGGAGUGACAAGAACCAUCAGAUGCAACAAAAAUGGUGGAAAUAUAAGGAGUGAGUUGGUAUGUGGCUGUCUUCUCUUUCUUCUUCUAGGUUAAUUGAGAGUCUCUGUUUUGCUUCUCUCAAUCUCUCACAAUUUUUUUAAGGCUGGGUCCGCAUCAUACUUAAUUAUUCCUGCAGCAUUGUUGCUUUCAGUUGAAAAUCAGAAUUGUAAAAUGCAAUAUAAUGGAAUUUGUAACGUUAUUUUUGAAGUUA